GUUGAACGCUGGCGGCGUGCCUAAUACAUGCAAGUCGAGCGAACAGACGAGGAGCUUGCUCCUCUGACGUUAGCGGCGGACGGGUGAGUAACACGUGGAUAACCUACCUAUAAGACUGGGAUAACUUCGGGAAACCGGAGCUAAUACCGGAUAAUAUAUUGAACCGCAUGGUUCAAUAGUGAAAGACGGUUUUGCUGUCACUUAUAGAUGGAUCCGCGCCGCAUUAGCUAGUUGGUAAGGUAACGGCUUACCAAGGCAACGAUGCGUAGCCGACCUGAGAGGGUGAUCGGCCACACUGGAAUUGAGACACGGUCCAGACUCCUACGGGAGGCAGCAGUAGGGAAUCUUCCGCAAUGGGCGAAAGCCUGACGGAGCAACGCCGCGUGAGUGAUGAAGGUCUUCGGAUCGUAAAACUCUGUUAUUAGGGAAGAACAAAUGUGUAAGUAACUAUGCACGUCUUGACGGUACCUAAUCAGAAAGCCACGGCUAACUACGUG
rnacentral:rRNA from 1 species